UACGUAGGUGGCAAGCGUUGUCCGGAUUUACUGGGCGUAAAGAGCGCGCAGGCGGUCGUUCAAGUCGAGUGUGAAAGCCCCCGGCUCAACUGGGGAGGGUCACUCGAUACUGAUCGACUCGAAGGCAGAAGAGGGAAGCGGAAUUCCCGGUGUAGUGGUGAAAUGCGCAGAUAUCGGGAGGAACACCGGUGGCGAAGGCGGUUCUCUGGGCCUUACCUGACGCUGAGGAGCGAAAGCGUGGGGAGCGAACAGG
rnacentral:rRNA from 1 species